GAUGAACGCUGGCGGCGUGCCUAAUACAUGCAAGUCGAGCGAACGGACGAGAAGCUUGCUUCUCUGAUGUUAGCGGCGGACGGGUGAGUAACACGUGGAUAACCUACCUAUAAGACUGGGAUAACUUCGGGAAACCGGAGCUAAUACCGGAUAAUAUUUUGAACCGCAUGGUUCAAAAGUGAAAGACGGUCUUGCUGUCACUUAUAGAUGGAUCCGCGCUGCAUUAGCUAGUUGGUAAGGUAACGGCUUACCAAGGCAACGAUGCAUAGCCGACCUGAGAGGGUGAUCGGCCACACUGGAACUGAGACACGGUCCAGACUCCUACGGGAGGCAGCAGUAGGGAAUCUUCCGCAAUGGGCGAAAGCCUGACGGAGCAACGCCGCGUGAGUGAUGAAGGUCUUCGGAUCGUAAAACUCUGUUAUUAGGGAAGAACAUAUGUGUAAGUAACUGUGCACAUCUUGACGGUACCUAAUCAGAAAGCCACGGCUAACUACGUGCCAGCAGCCGCGGUAAUACGUAGGUGGCAAGCGUUAUCCGGAAUUAUUGGGCGUAAAGCGCGCGUAGGCGGUUUUUUAAGUCUGAUGUGAAAGCCCACGGCUCAACCGUGGAGGGUCAUUGGAAACUGGAAAACUUGAGUGCAGAAGAGGAAAGUGGAAUUCCAUGUGUAGCGGUGAAAUGCGCAGAGAUAUGGAGGAACACCAGUGGCGAAGGCGACUUUCUGGUCUGUAACUGACGCUGAUGUGCGAAAGCGUGGGGAUCAAACAGGAUUAGAUACCCUGGUAGUCCACGCCGUAAACGAUGAGUGCUAAGUGUCAGGGGGUUUCCGCCCCUUAGUGCUGCAGCUAACGCAUUAAGCACUCCGCCUGGGGAGUACGACCGCAAGGUUGAAACUCAAAGGAAUUGACGGGGACCCGCACAAGCGGUGGAGCAUGUGGUUUAAUUCGAAGCAACGCGAAGAACCUUACCAAAUCUUGACAUCCUUUGACAACUCUAGAGAUAGAGCUUUCCCCUUCGGGGGACAAAGUGACAGGUGGUGCAUGGUUGUCGUCAGCUCGUGUCGUGAGAUGUUGGGUUAAGUCCCGCAACGAGCGCAACCCUUAAGCUUAGUUGCCAUCAUUAAGUUGGGCACUCCAAGUUGACUGCCGGUGACAAACCGGAGGAAGGUGGGGAUGACGUCAAAUCAUCAUGCCCCUUAUGAUUUGGGCUACACACGUGCUACAAUGGACAAUACAAAGGGCAGCGAAACCGCGAGGUCAAGCAAAUCCCAUAAAGUUGUUCUCAGUUCGGAUUGUAGUCUGCAACUCGACUACAUGAAGCUGGAAUCGCUAGUAAUCGUAGAUCAGCAUGCUACGGUGAAUACGUUCCCGGGUCU
rnacentral:rRNA from 1 species